CUCUCUCUCUCUCCUCCAUUGAUGCACUGAAGCUUUCUUGCCCGAUCUCUCACCCAAGCCACCCAAACAUGAUGUCUUCCUAGGGAUGGAAGGAAGAGACCCAGAUCUACACUUCCAUCAAAGGAAAACUGAUUCCCCCAAGUUCUUGUGUGGAUUAUGUUACUCUUGGGUGUUUGAGCACCCUAGACGGAAGAGGUCACCUCGGAGCCACAUUC
rnacentral:lncRNA from 1 species